rnacentral:rRNA from 1 species
GAUGAACGCUAGCGGCAGGCUUAAUACAUGCAAGUCGUGGGGCAGCGCAGGUAGCAAUACUGGGCGGCGACCGGCAAACGGGUGCGGAACACGUACACAACCUUCCGAGAAGUGGGGAAUAGCCCAGAGAAAUUUGGAUUAAUACCCCGUAACAUAACGAUGUGGCAUCACAUUGUUAUUAUAGCUUCGGCGCUUCUUGAUGGGUGUGCGGCUGAUUAGAUAGUUGGCGGGGUAACGGCCCACCAAGUCUACGAUCAGUAGCUGAUGUGAGAGCAUGAUCAGCCACACGGGCACUGAGACACGGGCCCGACUCCUACGGGAGGCAGCAGUAAGGAAUAUUGGUCAAUAGGACGGCCAAGUACC